rnacentral:rRNA from 1 species
AACGCGAAGAACCUUACCAGGUCUUGACAUCCCGGUGAAACGUCUAGAGAUAGGCGCCCUCUUCGGAGCACUGGAGACAGGUGGUGCAUGGUUGUCGUCAGCUCGUGUCGUGAGAUGUUGGGUUAAGUCCCGCAACGAGCGCAACCCUUGAUCUUAGUUGCCAGCACCUCGGGUGGGCACUCUAGGAUGACUGCCGGUGACAAACCGGAGGAAGGCGGGGAUGACGUCAAAUCAUCAUGCCCCUUAUGACCUGGGCUACACACGUACUACAAUGGCCGGUACAACGGGCUGCGAAGCCGCGAGGUGGAGCCAAUCCCAGAAAGCCGGUCUCAGUUCGGAUUGCAGGCUGCAACUCGCCUGCAUGAAGUCGGAAUUGCUAGUAAUCGCGGAUCAGCAUGCCGCGGUGAAUACGUUCCCGGCCUUGUACACACCGCGCAUA